rnacentral:rRNA from 1 species
GACGAACGCUGGCGGCGUGCUUAACACAUGCAAGUCGAACGGAAAGGCCCUGCUUUUGUGGGGUGCUCGAGUGGCGAACGGGUGAGUAACACGUGUGUAACCUGCCCUUGACUUUGGGAUAACUUCAGGAAACUGGGACUAAUACCGGAUAGGAGCUCCUGCUGCAUGGUGGGGGUUGGAAAGUUUCGGCGGUUGGGGAUGGACUCGCGGCUUAUCAGCUUGUUGGUGGGGUAGUGGCUUACCAAGGCUUUGACGGGUAGCCGGCCUGAGAGGGUGACCGGCCACAUUGGGACUGAGAUACGGCCCAGACUCCUACGGGAGGCAGCAGUGGGGAAUAUUGCACAAUGGGCGGAAGCCUGAUGCAGCAACGCCGCGGGCGGGAUGACGGCCUUCGGGUUGUAAACCGCUUUCGCCUGUGGCGAAGCGUGAGUGACGGUAAUGGGUAAAGAAGCACCGGCUAACUACGUGC